AGAGUUUGAUCCUGGCUCAGGAUUAACGCUGGCGGCGUGCAUCAAACAUGCAAGUCGAGCGCGGUGUGUGGGCUUCGGUUCACACAUCUAGCGGCGAACGGGUGAGUAACACGUGAGCAACCUACCUUCGAGUUCGGGAUAGCCCUGAGAAAUCAGGAUUAAUACCGGAUGUGGUCACUGUCGGGCAUCCGACGGUGAGUAAAGGCGUAAGCCGCUCGAAGACGGGCUCGCGGCCUAUUAGCUUGUUGGUGGGGUAACGGCCUACCAAGGCGGUGAUGGGUAGCUGGUCUGAGAGGACGAUCAGCCACACUGGGACUGAGAUACGGCCCAGACUCCUACGGGAGGCAGCAGUUAGGAAUCUUCCGCAAUGGACGAAAGUCUGACGGAGCAACGCCGCGUGGGUGAUGAAGAGCUUCGGCUUGUAAAGCCCUGUCGGAGGGGAAGAACACAAUGACGGUACCCUCCAAGAAAGCCCCGGCUAACUACGUGCCAGCAGCCGCGGUAAUACGUAGGGGGCGAGCGUUAUCCGGAUUUACUGGGCGUAAAGCGCGUCAAGGUGGUUGGCAAAGUUGGUGGUGAAAUUUCAGGGCUCAACCCUGAAACUGCCUCCAAUACUGGUUGACUAGAGUGCGAGAGAGGAAGGUGGAAUUCCCGGUGUAGUAGUGAAAUGCGUAGAUAUCGGGAGGAACACCAGUGGCGAAGGCGGCCUUCUGGCUCGCAACUGACACUGUAGCGCGAAAGCGUGGGGAGCGAACGGGAUUAGAUACCCCGGUAGUCCACGCCCUAAACGAUGUGUACUAGGUGUUGGGCGUAUUGACGCGCUCAGUGCCGUAGCUAACGCGAUAAGUACACCGCCUGGGGAGUACG
rnacentral:rRNA from 1 species